AGUAGGGUAAGGGAACCCAGGAGAAGUGCUCUGCCACGUGGCUCGCAGUCUCAGGUUUUAUGGUGAUGGGAUUAGUUUCCAGGUGGUCUUUGGCCAAUCAUUCUAAUUCAGUCUUUCCUGGUGGCGCCGCAUGGCUCAGCCAAGAUGGAUGCUAGCGAGAGGGAUUCUGGGAAGUGGACGGACACGCGGUGUCUCCUUUAUACCUUUCCCGAACUCUUCCGGGUGGUGGUGGCUUAUUAGUUCUGUAUUCCUUAUCAGGAUCUCCUGCCAUAAAACAACUCAUGCAAACGGUUACUAUGGUGUCUGGCCAGGGUGGGCGGUUUCAAUCAGUGUGCUUCCCCUAACAAAAGGAUGAAAUAUGUAGAUGUGCAAACUCGGACUGAUUCAAGUUCCUUCCAUUAAGUGCCAUGCUCACUUGCUGGCAGUGAAGAUGAAACAUGAAGGAUUUUGAGAACACAGAUAGACUGUAGUUUGUUGCUUUCUGAAGUUCUGAUAGUGUCUGCCUCAGGGAAGCCACGUUGUUUUGUAGAUAUGAAAGUGCUUAGUCACUCAGUCGUGUCUGACUUUUUGUGACCCCAUGGACUGUUGCUCUCCAGGCUCCUCUGUCCAUAGGAUUCACCAGGCCUCUCCAUAUUUUGGCCACCUGAUGAGAAGAGCAGACUGAUUGGAAAAGACCCUGAUGCUGGGGAAGACUGAGGGCAGGAGGAGAAGGGUGUGACAGAGGAUGAGAUGGUUGGAUGGCAUCACCGCCUCAUUGGCCAUGAGUUUGGGCAAGCUACGGGAGAUUGUGAAGGACGGGGAAGGCUGGUGUGCUGCAGUCCAUGGGGUCACGAAGAGCUGGACACGACUGAAUGAC
ensembl:lncRNA